CGGGGGUCGGGUGUGAGACGACGUAGCGGGGUCAGGAGUUGGCGGCCUGGCGCAGCCGCAGGCGCCCUGGGCGUCCGGGGUUCGGGCGGUGGGAGAGCGCGAGGAGGAACCUGGAGGUGAGUGCUGGGUUGCGCGUUGCGAGCGGGCGCCGGUCCAGGCCCCUUCCUGCAGACCCGGUCCGUUGCCCUUUCCGUCUCGCGUUCUCCUUGCCUGCGAAGCUCCUCCCUGCGCGCUCUGGCUUGUGAGUCCCCGGCCUGGUGCGGAUGGGGUGCAGCCCGGGGUCGUGGCAUGGGACUGGAAGCUGGAAGCGGAGGCCCUGGCUGCAGGUGAAGACAGAGUUGGAGCUCUAGUCUGCAGCAGUCUUGGAAGGGAGGAGCCGGUGCCGCCGCAAGUCUGGGGCAGGGAGUGGGUGAGGCGGCCUGGGCGCGAGCAUCUCCAGCCGCAGUUUUUUGGAGUUGCUGCAGCGCGGGAGUUCUUUGAAGAAAAAUGUACUUCUUAAAUCAACUCCAGUGCCUCUUUAUAAAGAACUCUUAAGGAUACUAGCAGGAAAGAAGCAAAUUAAACUGAAGGCUAAUCUGCAGUUAAGAAAAGCAAAGGCAUGGAAUUUUGAAGAGUGAAAGUAGCAUAGUGUCGGCCAUGGGUGAUCAAGAUACAGCCAGAAAAUGUGGACCAGUUUCUUCAAACUACGGCUUUUCUGUUGUCUGCUUACAGUGUUGAUGGUGGUGCUGCUGGUCAUUAAUGUAACUCAG
rnacentral:lncRNA from 1 species